GUGCUCACUUAGGCAGCCUCAUUAUACUAAAAUCAGAAUAAUACAGAGAUUUGCAUGGUCCCUGUGCAAGGAUGACAUGCAAAUUCAUGGAUAAUUCCACAUUUUA
rnacentral:snRNA from 1 species